rnacentral:rRNA from 1 species
CCUACGGGAGGCAGCAGUCGAGAAUCAUUCACAAUGGGGGAAACCCUGAUGGUGCGACGCCGCGUGGGGGAAUGAAGGUCUUCGGAUUGUAAACUCCUGUCAUGUGGGAGCAAAUUAAAAAGAUAGUACCAUAAGAGGAAGAGACGGCUAACUCUGCGCCAGCAGCCGCGGUAAUACAGAGGUAUCAAGCGUUGUUCGGAAGCACUGGGCGUAAAGCGUGCGUAGGCCGUUUGGUAAGUCGUGUGUGAAAGUCGCGGGCUCAACCCGCGGACGGCACAUGGUACUGCGAGACUAGAGUAAAGGAGGGGAAACCGGAAUUCUCGGUGUAGCAGUGAAAUGCGUAGAUAUCAGGAGGAACACUCGUGGCGAAGGCGGGUUCCUGGACAUUAACUGACGCUGAGGCACGAAGGCCAGGGGAGCGAAAGGGAUUAGAUACCCGAGUAGUC